GCUGGGCACGGUGGUGUAUGCCUGUAAUCUCAGCAGCUUGGGAGGCUGAGGCAGGAGGAUUGCAAGUUUAAAACCAGCCUCAGCAAUUUAGCAAGACCCUGUCUCUA
rnacentral:sRNA from 1 species